AGAAUCAACGCUGGCGGCGUGCCUAACACAUGCAAGUCGAACGAGAAAGUGGAGCAAUCCAUGAGUAAAGUGGCGCACGGGUGAGUAACACGUGACUAACCUACCUUUUAGUGGGGGAUAACCUAGGGAAACCUGGGCUAAUACCGCAUAACACUUACGAGUCAAAGCAGCAAUGCGCUGAAAGAGGGGGUCGCGGCCGAUUAGCUAGUUGGCGGGGUAAUGGCCCACCAAGGCAGUGAUCGGUAUCCGGCCUGAGAGGGCGCACGGACACACUGGAACUGAAACACGGUCCAGACUCCUACGGGAGGCAGCAGUGGGGAAUUUGCGCAAUGGGGGAAACCCUGACGCAGCAACGCCGCGUGGAGGAUGAAGUCCCUUGGGACGUAAACUCCUUUCGAUCGGGAAGAUAAUGACGGUACCGAUAUAAGAAGCCCCGGCUAACUUCGUGCCAGCAGCCGC
rnacentral:rRNA from 1 species